AGCUAGCAACUACGUGUCCGAUUAUUUUGAGUUUUAUUGUUGGAAUUAUUUGUUAGGGACGCUGUAUUAUUACGAAUGGUUUAGCUAGAACUACUAUUAUCGAACUGGGAUGAUCAUGAGCCCGCUAGGACCUAUAACUAACAGCGGUCAAGCUACAAAUAGGUGGGCUACUGUGGAUGAAUUUUUGCGGUACAAUCCUGGAGAAGUGGAUCCAACGCUCCAGUGUGUUUCUCAAAGUGAUUCUGUGCGGUGCGGUGAAAUGUGAGUGGACUCGAGUAGUGCGUUAAAAUUACAAAGACACCAGUGGUGCAGUGUGAUGUGCAAAGACUCAAACAGUGAGGACAUUUUCAUGAACAGUGAGGCAGCAGGCAUGCAGAGGAUGGGUCUCCAGUAUGCAGUG
rnacentral:misc_RNA from 1 species